rnacentral:rRNA from 1 species
GACGAACGCUGGCGGCGUGCUUAACACAUGCAAGUCGAACGGAAAGGCCCUGCUUUUGUGGGGUGCUCGAGUGGCGAACGGGUGAGUAACACGUGAGUAACCUGCCCUUGACUUUGGGAUAACUUCAGGAAACUGGGGCUAAUACCGGAUAGGAGCUCCUGUUGCAUGGUGGGGGUUGGAAAGUUUCGGCGGUUGGGGAUGGACUCGCGGCUUAUCAGCUUGUUGGUUGGGUAGUGGCUUACCAAGGCUGUGACGGGUAGCCGGCCUGAGAGGGUGACCGGCCACAUUGGGACUGAGAUACGGCCCAGACUCCUACGGGAGGCAGCAGUGGGGAAUAUUGCACAAUGGGCGGAAGCCUGAUGCAGCAACGCCGCGUGCGGGAUGACGGCCUUCGGGUUGUAAACCGCUUUCGCCUGUGACGAAGCGUGAGUGACGGUAAUGGGUAAAGAAGCACCGGCUAACUACGUG